UAAUUUGAGAGUUCGAUCCUGGCUCAGGAUGAACGCUGGCGGCGUGCUUAACACAUGCAAGUCGAGCGAAGCGAUUCAAAUGAAGUUUUCGGAUGGAUUUUGAAUUGACUUAGCGGCGGACGGGUGAGUAACGCGUGGGUAACCUGCCUCAUACAGGGGGAUAACAGUUGGAAACGGCUGCUAAUACCGCAUAAGCACACAGUGCCGCAUGGUACGGUGUGAAAAACUCCGGUGGUAUGAGAUGGACCCGCGUCUGAUUAGGUAGUUGGUGAGGUAACGGCCCACCAAGCCGACGAUCAGUAGCCGACCUGAGAGGGUGACCGGCCACAUUGGGACUGAGACACGGCCCAAACUCCUACGGGAGGCAGCAGUGGGGAAUAUUGGACAAUGGGGGAAACCCUGAUCCAGCGACGCCGCGUGAGUGAAGAAGUAUUUCGGUAUGUAAAGCUC
rnacentral:ncRNA from 1 species